rnacentral:tRNA from 1 species
CGCGGGGUAGAGCAGUCUGGUAGCUCGUUUGGCUCAUAACCAAAAGGUCGCAGGUUCAAAUCCUGCCCCCGCAACCA